rnacentral:tRNA from 1 species
GGGGACAUAGCUCAACUGGGAGAGCGCCGCCUUUGCACGGCGGAGGUUGCCGGUUCGAGCCCGGUUGUCUCCA